AAAAAAACUGCAAUGGGUAAGGCCUGAAGCUCAAGAAGGGUGUGAUGUGUCAGAUUGGUUCAACAUUAUGGUACUCCAUCAAAAUAGGAUCAAGACAAAUCCUAAAAAUGCGAUAAAUGAACAUUUCCUGCCACGAUUCCUAGACUUCAUAGUGUGGGGGCAUGAACAUGAAUGCCUAGUUAAUCCAUAGGAAGUUCCUAGGAUGGGCUUUCAUAUAACUCAACUAGGGUCGUCUGUUGCAACAUCAUUAAUCGAUGGGGAAGCAAAGCUUAAGCAUGUCCUUCUUUUAGAAAUUAAGGGGAAUCGAUAUCGUCCAACUAAAAUACCUUUGAAGUCAGUGAGGCCUUUUGAAUAUGCUGAGGUCAUUUUAAAGGACGAGGCGAACAUUGACCCCAAUGAUCAAUCAUCUGUUCUUAAGCAUUUGGACAAAGUUGUCAGAAAUCUGAUUGAGAAAGGUAACAGAAAGGCUGUUAGUAGGU